AAUGUCACAAUACAAAGGCCAAACUCUUUGACAAAAUUUGAGACUAAGGAACCAUCCUCGCCGCAGAGAUUACACCCACACACUGAGAAUAGGAUGAGAUCUCCAUUUUAAUUACAUCACAACUUAAAUUCUCCCUUUAACCAAUCAGUCCUGCUUGUCCCAGUCCUUUAGAGUUGUUGUUCCUGAAUACACUCUCCUAUUAACUUCCGGCAUAUAAAACUCCAAUUUAGAUUCUGUUUCCAUGGAGCAUGACCUAAGAGAACUUUGAGCUUCCCAUCAGUCACUGAACUGAUGUAGGAUAACUCAUAAGAACUGAGCUCUACCUGCCUCAAUUUGAAAACAGGAAUUCCUUUCACAUAUUAUGAAGCCCUAAAAAUGGGACAUAUCACAUCCUUCUUGCCCAUAGGAACACUAGACAGUACUUCAGCACUACACUCGGGAGCCAUUUUCAACAGUGAAAACACAAACAAAAAGAACAAAGAAUGAAAAUGAGAAAUAUGUGGUACUGAACAGACCACAGAAAGGACAGGAUCUUUCCCCACAUCCUCACUGGAUUCCCUGUUUAGCAUUUAGUCUAGCAGAGCCAAAGCCCACAUGCUAUUAACCAGAUGUUUUGCAGAGGCCUGUAAACCCUAAAAUAAUGGACAGCCAGACUGCAUUAGAAGGAAGCAGUCAGGCACACUGAUUUGCUGUUUGCUUUAAACCCUGGUAGCAUGAUGUAAUUUUUGCCUGUCAUCUCCUUUCCGAGUAGGAGGAAUUAUUCACAUGUUAUCAAUGAAGGCACAAUAUAAUGUAAAGGGUUUUCUUCUGUUCUCCAGCUUUUUGGUUUAAGUUUCUGGCAUCCUCUGAAGAGAAAAGGCAAUGCCUAACAGAAAAACUGCCAUAAAAUGAAUACUCCAGAAAUGUCAGUGGUAGUAGAGACAGUAUCCGAGGAAGAAAAGGAUGAAGGGAAGUAACAAAGGAGGGAGGAGAGGAAAUACAGGAGCAGGAAGGUCAGUAGUGUUAAAUAUUGGAAAAAAGUGAGGACAACAAGGACUCAAAAAGCAAGACCUUUGAUGUGACAAUUAAGUUAUUCAUAAAAAAGGAACAAUUGUUGGAUUGAGAGCCAGUAGCUAGACCAUACGUUUUGAAAGAAAAUGGGGUGAUUCAGGAAAUAUGGUGAAUUAACAACAUGGAUUAAUUUCACUGCCUGGUGAAAUAAAAAAAAAACUGAAGUCCCA
rnacentral:lncRNA from 13 species